UUUACAAAGUUAAAAAGCCUAUUGUCCCCCCCAAAGGGACUUCCCAUCUCCAACAGAAACACUGUUAACAACCUGCUCCAGACAGCUCUAUGUAGUCCAGCCUUCACUUCUGAGACCAUCGUUAUAAUGCUUGUCUAGCUGCUAGCAUGGCACGCCCUCAUACUCUGCUUCUGACUGGCUAUCCUUACCUAGCUAAUGCGCAUGUGCGAUUCCCAACAAAGAUGCAACAGAAGUGAGAUGCCUCACUCUGUAGCUAAAACAGA